GCUGGCGGCACGCCUAACACAUGCAAGUCGAACGAAGUAGCAAUACUUAGUGGCAGACGGGUGAGUAACAUGUAGGUAUCUGCCCUAUGGCCUGGAAUAACACGAGGAAACUUGUGCUAAUACCGGAUAAGUCUUUACGGAGAAAGCUUUAUGCACCAUUGGAUGAGCCUGCACUUGAUUAGUUUGUUGGUGGGGUAAUGGCCUACCAAGACUGUGAUCAAUAGCUGAUUUGAGAGGAUGAUCAGCCACAUUGGGACUGAGACACGGCCCAAACUCCUACGGGAGGCAGCAGUGGGGAAUCUUGCACAAUGGAGGAAACUCUGAUGCAGCGAUGCCGCGUGAGUGAAGAAGGCCCUUGGGUUGUAAAGCUCUUUCGUCGGGGAAGAAAAUGACUGUACCCGAAUAAGAAGGUCCGGCUAACUUCGUGCCAGCAGCCGCGGUAAUACGAAGGGACCUAGCGUAGUUCGGAAUUACUGGGCUUAAAGAGUUCGUAGGUGGUUAAAAAAGUUGGUGGUGAAAUCCCAGAGCUUAACUCUGGAACUGCCAUCAAAACUUUUUAGCUAGAGUAUGAUAGAGGAAAGCAGAAUUUCUAGUGUAGAGGUGAAAUUCGUAGAUAUUAGAAAGAAUACCAAUUGCGAAGGCAGCUUUCUGGAUCAUUACUGACACUGAGGAACGAAAGCAUGGGUAGCGAAGAGGAUUAGAUACCCUCGUAGUCCAUGCCGUAAACGAUGUGUGUUAGACGUUGGAAAUUUAUUUUCAGUGUCGCAGCGAAAGCGAUAAACACACCGCCUGGGGAGUACGACCG
rnacentral:rRNA from 1 species